UACGUAGGUGGCGAGCGUUAUCCGGAAUUAUUGGGCGUAAAGAGCGCGCAGGUGGUUGAUUAAGUCUGAUGUGAAAGCCCACGGCUUAACCGUGGAGGGUCAUUGGAAACUGGUAGACUUGAGUGCAGAAGAGGGAAGUGGAAUUCCAUGUGUAGCGGUGAAAUGCGUAGAGAUAUGGAGGAACACCAGUGGCGAAGGCGGCUUCCUGGUCUGUAACUGACACUGAGGCGCGAAAGCGUGGGGAGCAAACAGGAUUAGAUA
rnacentral:rRNA from 1 species